UGCCUAACACAUGCAAGUCGAACGAAGCACCUUACCGGAUUCUUCGGAUGAAAGUUUGGUGACUGAGUGGCGGACGGGUGAGUAACGCGUGGGUAACCUGCCCUGUACAGGGGGAUAACAGCUGGAAACGGCUGCUAAUACCGCAUAAGCGCACGAGGAGACAUCUCCUAGUGUGAAAAACUCCGGUGGUACAGGAUGGGCCCGCGUCUGAUUAGCUGGUUGGCAGGGUAACGGCCUACCAAGGCAACGAUCAGUAGCCGGUCUGAGAGGAUGAACGGCCACAUUGGAACUGAGACACGGUCCAAACUCCUACGGGAGGCAGCAGUGGGGAAUAUUGCACAAUGGGGGAAACCCUGAUGCAGCAACGCCGCGUGAGUGAAGAAGUAUUUCGGUAUGUAAAGCUCUAUCAGCAGGGAAGAUAAUGACGGUACCUGACUAAGAAGCUCCGGCUAAAUACGUGCCAGCAGCCGCGGUAAUACGUAUGGAGCAAGCGUUAUCCGGAUUUACUGGGUGUAAAGGGUGCGUAGGUGGCAGUGCAAGUCAGAUGUGAAAGGCCGGGGCUCAACCCCGGAGCUGCAUUUGAAACUGCAUAGCUGGAGUACAGGAGAGGCAGGCGGAAUUCCUAGUGUAGCGGUGAAAUGCGUAGAUAUUAGGAGGAACACCAGUGGCGAAGGCGGCCUGCUGGACUGUUACUGACACUG
rnacentral:rRNA from 1 species